rnacentral:rRNA from 1 species
UACAGAGGUCUCAAGCGUUGUUCGGAUUCAUUGGGCGUAAAGGGUGCGUAGGCGGGUCUUUAAGUCAGAGGUGAAAUCCUGGAGCUCAACUCCAGAACUGCCUUUGAUACUGAGGAUCUUGAGUACGGGAGAGGUGAGUGGAACUGCGAGUGUAGAGGUGAAAUUCGUAGAUAUUCGCAAGAACACCAGUGGCGAAGGCGGCUCACUGGCCCGUUACUGACGCUGAGGCACGAAAGCGUGGGGAGCAAACAGG